rnacentral:rRNA from 1 species
GAUGAACGCUAGCUACAGGCUUAACACAUGCAAGUCAAGGGGUAGCAGGGUAGCAAUACCGCUGACGACCGGCGCACGGGUGAGUAACACGUAUCCAACCUUCCCAUAACUCGGGGAUAGCCUUUCGAAAGAAAGAUUAAUACCCGAUAGUACUUAACAAAGGCAUCUUUGAUAAGUUAAAGAUUUAUUGGUUAUGGAUGGGGAUGCGUUCCAUUAGAUAGUUGGUGAGGUAACGGCUCACCAAGUCUUCGAUGGAUAGGGGUUCUGAGAGGAAGGUCCCCCACAUUGGUACUGAGACACGGACCAAACUCCUACGGGAGGCAGCAGUGAGGAAUAUUGGUCAAUGGGCGAGAGCCUGAACCAGCCAAGUAGCGUGCAGGAUGACGGCCCUAUGGGUUGUAAACUGCUUUUAUACAGGAAUAAAGUUAGCCACGUGUGGUUAUUUGUAGGUACUGUAUGAAUAAGGACCGGCUAAUUCCGUGCCAGCAGCCGCCGUAA